GAUCAUGGCUCAGGACGAACGCUGGCGGCGUGCUUAACACAUGUAAGUCGAACGGAGCACCCUUGACUGAGGUUUCGGCCAAAUGAUAGGAAUGCUUAGUGGCGGACUGGUGAGUAACGCGUGAGGAAUCUGCCUUUCAGAGGGGGACAACAGCUGGAAACGGCUGCUAAUACCGCAUGACGCAUUCGGAUGGCAUCAUCUGAAUGCCAAAGAUUUAUCG
rnacentral:rRNA from 1 species